rnacentral:hammerhead_ribozyme from 1 species
NCACUGCUGAGGAGUCCCAUACCAGGACGAAACGGCCGUCCAGUGC